rnacentral:rRNA from 14 species
GCCUACCACCAUACCACCGUGAAUGCACUGGUUACAUCUAAUCUCAAAAGCCAAGGUUGGAGCCUGACUGGUACCUGACUGGGAGAAAAAAUAUGACAAACACAAAUCAAGCUUAUGAGGCC